rnacentral:rRNA from 1 species
AACAAACGCUGGCGGCGUGCCUAAUACAUGCAAGCCGAACGGGGUAGCAAUACCUAGUGGCGCACGGGUGAGGAACGCGUGGAUAAUCUGCCUUAGAGUGGGGAAUAACUAGUCGAAAGAUUAGCUAAUACCGCAUAAGACCACAGGAGCUGCGGCUCUAGGGGUCAAAGGUUUUUCGCUCUAAGAUGAGUCCGCGUAAGAUUAGCUAGUUGGUGAGGUAACGGCUCACCAAGGCGACGAUCUUUAACUGGUCUGAGAGGAUGAUCAGUCACACUGGAACUGAGACACGGUCCAGACUCCUACGGGAGGCAGCAGUAGGGAAUAUUGCACAAUGGAGGAAACUCUGAUGCAGCGACGCCGCGUGAGUGAUGAAGGCCUUCGGGUCGUAAAGCUCUGUCGCAGGGGAAUAACACAAUGAAUGUACCCUGUAAGAAAGGAUCGGCUAACUUCGUGCCAGCAGCCGCCGUAACAC